rnacentral:rRNA from 1 species
GAUGAACGCUGGCGGCGUGCCUAAUACAUGCAAGUCGAGCGAACGGACGAGAAGCUUGCUUCUCUGAUGUUAGCGGCGGACGGGUGAGUAACACGUGGAUAACCUACCUAUAAGACUGGGAUAACUUCGGGAAACCGGAGCUAAUACCGGAUAAUAUUUUGAACCGCAUGGUUCAAAAGUGAAAGACGGUCUUGCUGUCACUUAUAGAUGGAUCCGCGCUGCAUUAGCUAGUUGGUAAGGUAACGGCUUACCAAGGCAACGAUGCAUAGCCGACCUGAGAGGGUGAUCGGCCACACUGGAACUGAGACACGGUCCAGACUCCUACGGGAGGCAGCAGUAGGGAAUCUUCCGCAAUGGGCGAAAGCCUGACGGAGCAACGCCGCGUGAGUGAUGAAGGUCUUCGGAUCGUAAAACUCUGUUAUUAGGGAAGAACAUAUGUGUAAGUAACUGUGCACAUCUUGACGGUACCUAAUCAGAAAGCCACGGCUAACUACGUGCCAGCAGCCGCGGUAAUACGUAGGUGGCAAGCGUUAUCCGGAAUUAUUGGGCGUAAAGCGCGCGUAGCGGUUUUUUAAGUCUGAUGUGAAAGCCCACGGCUCAACCGUGGAGGGUCAUUGGAAACUGGAAAACUUGAGUGCAGAAGAGGAAAGUGGAAUUCCAUGUGUAGCGGUGAAAUGCGCAGAGAUAUGGAGGAACACCAGUGGCGAAGGCGACUUUCUGGUCUGUAACUGACGCUGAUGUGCGAAAGCGUGGGGAUCAAACAGGAUUAGAUACCCUGGUAGUCCACGCCGUAAACGAUGAGUGCUAAGUGUUAGGGGGUUUCCGCCCCUUAGUGCUGCAGCUAGCGCAUUAAGCACUCCGCCUGGGGAGUACGACCGCAAGGUUGAAACUCAAAGGAAUUGACGGGGACCCGCACAAGCGGUGGAGCAUGUGGUUUAAUUCGAAGCAACGCGAAGAACCUUACCAAAUCUUGACAUCCUUUGACAACUCUAGAGAUAGAGCCUUCCCCUUCGGGGGACAAAGUGACAGGUGGUGCAUGGUUGUCGUCAGCUCGUGUCGUGAGAUGUUGGGUUAAGUCCCGCAACGAGCGCAACCCUUAAGCUUAGUUGCCAUCAUUAAGUUGGGCACUCUAAGUUGACUGCCGGUGACAAACCGGAGGAAGGUGGGGAUGACGUCAAAUCAUCAUGCCCCUUAUGAUUUGGGCUACACACGUGCUACAAUGGACAAUACAAAGGGCAGCGAAACCGCGAGGUCAAGCAAAUCCCAUAAAGUUGUUCUCAGUUCGGAUUGUAGUCUGCAACUCGACUACAUGAAGCUGGAAUCGCUAGUAAUCGUAGAUCAGCAUGCUACGGUGAAUACGUUCCCGGGUCU